GUGCUCUUCUGGGUGGCCGCCAUUCGUAUGAACGAAUGCAUGUGUUAUGUGGAAUGGUGGUCAUUUUGUCUUGCGAAUGCAGGCAACGAUACUCAGACGUUGAAUGCCUGUAACUGAAAUCAGACACGCUAUCUCACAAACACUGCUGAACUUGAACUGGCACCUACUUCUUCCCCAAAUAGGUCAGGAGAGUGCUUUUUGGGAAAAGGACUUAUAUGAACAUGAGGAACAUUCGCUCACUAGGGGCAAGCAUUUGGUUUUAUACGCACAGGAACUCCCGAAUGGAGACCGGCCACAGCCUAUUUCAUCAUGGAACUGUUUUGGGCUACAACCUCUUGGCCUGCUGCUCAAAACUUUACCCGGAUGGUGAUUCUGUUUCACCAAACUUAUCUGAGCGGUAUUUGGACAACCUGGGCACUCAGAUCUGGGCUAUCUGGGGAUUUAAGACUUGAGGGCUUCCUGUUGAAAUUCAGUGUGGUUUUCUGGUAUUUUCUACAUGGGUCCCUGUAACUGAGAGAUAAUUAAGUUACUGGACUUUGACUCAAUUAUCUCCCAGACACAGGGAUGCCUCGGAGGGGUUUGUAUUUCAUUGUAUGGAGACCCCAUGCUGGG